CAAUUUUUUGCGGAUACAAUGGACGAUCGUUCUGCAAUGAAUAUCGUAUCAUUUUAAAAAUUUAGGAAAAUCGUCAAAAUGAAUGUCACAUUUGGAGUUGCUGCCAGUGUGAAAAAAAACUGAGAACCGUUAUCAUCUUUUCCUGCAUUCGCCAUUGCAAGCAAGCCUCUCCGACAGAAACGUAAUCUGCUGUGAAACUCAUCCUGUAAUGAAUAAAGAAAAUUGUUCAACUUGUAUGCAAGUAAUAAUACAAUUGAAGACGACGUUUAAAAUAGUGCCAUACCUUGAACGGACCAUUGUAUAUACUCUCGCCACCCUCCCCAGUCCCC